AUCUUGUUACCCAUGCAAUGUUGGGGUCAGAGAGUGUAGAGAGUGGUGUGGGGAGAGUGCAGGCUGAAGAGUUACCUAAGGUCAAAAUCCUGACCUAUGAGCCAAGCCAUCGAUUUGGGAUUUCUACUGAGGACACUGGAAGUCACUAAGAGCAUCUGAAUGCCUGGACCCACGCCUUCAUCAAUCUACUGUCAGGGAUAGAUUGUGCAUUUUCUGUGUCCCAGUGGGUGCCCCCCCCCCAAAAUAGAGCAGACAAAGCCUGGCCUGCGAGGGUACUGGUUUAGUUCAACAAAUAUCCAUAGAAUGCCCACUUAGGCAAAAUGGCAUAGGGCAGAUUGCCAAAAUCAGGGUUGACUCGGCCUGGAGCCAUGAAGUGGGUCCAACAGGUCUCUGAACUGAGGCAGGAGGCCCCAGGAUCCCGAGGUGUGCUGUAAAGCCUUUGAUGACAGCAUCUUGUGCCUAACACCUGACCACAUCUGAGCCACUAGAGACAGUACCUGAUAAGGAUGCAGAUGCCUGGGCCCUACCUUCCAAAGUUCUGGCUCAGUAGGUCUGGGG
rnacentral:lncRNA from 10 species